rnacentral:rRNA from 1 species
GGGUUGUGAGGUUAAGCGACUAAGCGUACACGGUGGAUGCCCUGGCAGUCAGAGGCGAUGAAGGGCGUGCUAAUCUGCGAUAAGCGCCGGUAAGGUGAUAUGAACCGUUAUAACCGGCGAUACCCGAAUGGGGAAACCCAGUGUGAUUCGUCACACUAUCAUUAACUGAAUCCAUAGGUUAAUGAGGCGAACCGGGGGAACUGAAACAUCUAAGUACCCCGAGGAAAAGAAAUCAACCGAGAUUCCCCCAGUAGCGGCGAGCGAACGGGGAGGAGCCCAGAGCCUGAAUCAGCAUGUGUGUUAGUGGAAGCGUCUGGAAAGGCGCGCGAUACAGGGUGACAGCCCCGUACACAAAAGCGCAUGUGCUGUGAGCUCGAUGAGUAGGGCGGGACACGUGGUAUCCUGUCUGAAUAUGGGGGGACCAUCCUCCAAGGCUAAAUACUCCUGACUGACCGAUAGUGAACCAGUACCGUGAGGGAAAGGCGAAAAGAACCCCGGCGAGGGGAGUGAAAAAGAACCUGAAACCGUGUACGUACAAGCAGUGGGAGCCCCACCACUAAGCCAGUGGUGAACUCCACAUACGCAUCCUUUGCUGAGGAUACGGUUAACGGAGCGAAAGCGACGUUCAACCGCAAAAGAAGCAGAGGGGGCUUAGUGGUGGGGUGACUGCGUACCUUUUGUAUAAUGGGUCAGCGACUUAUAUUCUGUAGCAAGGUUAACCGUAUAGGGGAGCCGGAGGGAAACCGAGUCUUAAUUGGGCGUUAAGUUGCAGGGUAUAGACCCGAAACCCGGUGAUCUAGCCAUGGGCAGGUUGAAGGUUGGGUAACACUAACUGGAGGACCGAACCGACUAAUGUUGAAAAAUUAGCGGAUGACCUGUGGCUGGGGGUGAAAGGCCAAUCAAACCGGGAGAUAGCUGGUUCUCCCCGAAAGCUAUUUAGGUAGCGCCUCGUGAACUCAUCUCCGGGGGUAGAGCACUGUUUCGGCUAGGGGGCCAUCCCGGCUUACCAACCCGAUGCAAACUGCGAAUACCGGAGAAUGUUAUCACGGGAGACACACGGCGGGUGCUAACGUCCGUCGUGAAGAGGGAAACAACCCAGACCGCCAGCUAAGGUCCCAAAGUCAUGGUUAAGUGGGAAACGAUGUGGGAAGGCCCAGACAGCCAGGAUGUUGGCUUAGAAGCAGCCAUCAUUUAAAGAAAGCGUAAUAGCUCACUGGUCGAGUCGGCCUGCGCGGAAGAUGUAACGGGGCUAAACCAUGCACCGAAGCUGCGGCAGCGACACUGUGUGUUGUUGGGUAGGGGAGCGUUCUGUAAGCCUGUGAAGGUGUGUCGUGAGGCAUGCUGGAGGUAUCAGAAGUGCGAAUGCUGACAUAAGUAACGAUAAAGCGGGUGAAAAGCCCGCUCGCCGGAAGACCAAGGGUUCCUGUCCAACGUUAAUCGGGGCAGGGUGAGUCGACCCCUAAGGCGAGGCCGAAAGGCGUAGUCGAUGGGAAACGGGUUAAUAUUCCCGUACUUGGUGUUACUGCGAAGGGGGGACGGAGAAGGCUAUGUUGGCCGGGCGACGGUUGUCCCGGUUUAAGCGUGUAGGCUGGUUUUCCGUGCAAAUCCGGAAAAUCAAGGCUGAGGCGUGAUGACGAGGCACUACGGUGCUGAAGCAACAAAUGCCCUGCUUCCGGAAAAGCCUCUAAGCAUCAGGUAACAUCAAAUCGUACCCCAAACCGACACAGGUGGUCAGGUAGAGAAUACCAAGGCGCUUGAGAGAACUCGGGUGAAGGAACUAGGCAAAAUGGUGCCGUAACUUCGGGAGAAGGCACGCUGACACGUAGGUGAAGUGAUUUACUCACGGAGCUGAAGUCAGUCGAAGAUACCAGCUGGCUGCAACUGUUUAUUAAAAACACAGCACUGUGCAAACACGAAAGUGGACGUAUACGGUGUGACGCCUGCCCGGUGCCGGAAGGUUAAUUGAUGGGGUCAGCGCAAGCGAAGCUCCUGAUCGAAGCCCCGGUAAACGGCGGCCGUAACUAUAACGGUCCUAAGGUAGCGAAAUUCCUUGUCGGGUAAGUUCCGACCUGCACGAAUGGCGUAAUGAUGGCCGGGCUGUCUCCACCCGAGACUCAGUGAAAUUGAACUCGCUGUGAAGAUGCAGUGUACCCGCGGCAAGACGGAAAGACCCCGUGAACCUUUACUAUAGCUUGACACUGAACAUUGAGCCUUGAUGUGUAGGAUAGGUGGGAGGCUUUGAAGUGUGGACGCCAGUCUGCAUGGAGCCGACCUUGAAAUACCACCCUUUAAUGUUUGAUGUUCUAACGUGGACCCGUUACCCGGGUUGCGGACAGUGUCUGGUGGGUAGUUUGACUGGGGCGGUCUCCUCCUAAAGAGUAACGGAGGAGCACGAAGGUUGGCUAAUCCUGGUCGGACAUCAGGAGGUUAGUGCAAUGGCAUAAGCCAGCUUGACUGCGAGCGUGACGGCGCGAGCAGGUGCGAAAGCAGGUCAUAGUGAUCCGGUGGUUCUGAAUGGAAGGGCCAUCGCUCAACGGAUAAAAGGUACUCCGGGGAUAACAGGCUGAUACCGCCCAAGAGUUCAUAUCGACGGCGGUGUUUGGCACCUCGAUGUCGGCUCAUCACAUCCUGGGGCUGAAGUAGGUCCCAAGGGUAUGGCUGUUCGCCAUUUAAAGUGGUACGCGAGCUGGGUUUAGAACGUCGUGAGACAGUUCGGUCCCUAUCUGCCGUGGGCGCUGGAGAACUGAGGGGGGCUGCUCCUAGUACGAGAGGACCGGAGUGGACGCAUCACUGGUGUUCGGGUUGUCAUGCCAAUGGCACUGCCCGGUAGCUAAAUGCGGAAGAGAUAAGUGCUGAAAGCAUCUAAGCACGAAACUUGCCCCGAGAUGAGUUCUCCCUGAGACUUAGAGUCUCCUGAAGGAACGUUGAAGACGACGACGUUGAUAGGCCGGGUGUGUAAGCGCAGCGAUGCGUUGAGCUAACCGGUACUAAUGAACCGUGAGGCUUAACCUUACAACGCCGAAG